rnacentral:rRNA from 1 species
AGUGAACGCUGGCGGCAGGCCUAACACAUGCAAGUCGAACGGCAGCACAGUAAGCGCGUGCCUCUACGGGUGGCGACUGGCGGACGGGUAAGGAAUGGAUCAGUCUCUACUUUUUCGUGGGGAAUUACGUAGAGCAACUUAUGCUAAUACAGAAUACUAUGUACGGGUUUGAUCAAGGGAUCUUGCGGGCUUUCGUGUCACAUUUAGACGAUGCCGCAUUACCUAGUUGGUGAGGUAAAGGACCACCAAGGCAACGAAACGUAGCUGGCCUGAGAGGAUGAUCAGCCACACUGGAACGGAGACACGGUCCAGACUCCUACGGGAGGCAGCAGUGGGGAAUCUUGCACAAUGGGCGAAAGCCUGACGCAGCCAUGCCGCGUGAGUGAAGAAGGUCUUCGGGUCGUAAAACCCUGUUAUUAGGAAAGAAAAGAAGCAUAAUAAAACCCCCCCGUUUUGACGGUACCCAAACAAAAAGCAACGGCUAACUUCGUG